GAUCAGCCGACGGAGAUACGCAGGGACGC
rnacentral:sRNA from 1 species